GCCGGCAGCUAGCUCUCUGCUACUCUCACAUGAUCGCCCACUGAAGCUAAGCAGUGCUACAAACAGUCAGUACCUGGAUGGGAGACCACUUGGGAAAGCUAGUUGCUGCUGGAA
rnacentral:rRNA from 1 species